CUCGUAGGCGGUUCGUCGCGUCCGGUGUGAAAGUCCAUCGCUUAACGGUGGAUCCGCGCCGGGUACGGGCGGGCUUGAGUGCGGUAGGGGAGACUGGAAUUCCCGGUGUAACGGUAGAAUGUGUAGAUAUCGGGAAGAACACCAAUGGCGAAGGCAGGUCUCUGGGCCGUCACUGACGCUGAGGAGCGAAAGCGUGGGGAGCGAACA
rnacentral:rRNA from 1 species